GUCUCAUUCAGCACACAUCGCGAUACUUUCCAUCAGUUUGCAAGAGCCGCAGGUUGGGUGAGUUAUACAGUCUAUGGUGAGUAGUAGUAAAUAUGCUAUUUUAAUGCCUGUCCUAAAACGUAUUCUGUCUUCUUUAUUAAUCAGAUGAGCGCCUUAUGUUUACUCUCUGUAUUACAUCGGUCAUCCGAGGCUGUCUUUGAGUUUCAUUGUGUUUAACUAAAUGAACACAGCUGCUAACUGGUUAAACUCUAUCGGUCACGUGACGUGACGUGACGUGCCACAGACCUGGGAUCCGUUUUAUAUUCAUUUCAGGUUCAAAGAUCUGAAAAGACGUAAAGUAAGCAGUCACCCCAGUGGUGUUUGUGGAGAGGUAUUCCUUCAGAAAUGGAGAAGACAGAAAGCUGCAGAGGCAGGAUUGUUUCCAGAUAACACUGUAGUUCUCCGUCAUGCACAAGGAUUCACCUCUUUAACUCCCCCCCCCCCCACACACACACACAGAGAAAUGGUUCCUGGAUCAGUGACUCAAGACUUUGCAGUGGUUUGAUUUCUGCAGAAAAUGUAACUUUGUUUUAAUUAACCUUAUAAUGAAUACAUUGUGACCUUCCAGCAACCCAUAUACUGUACUGUAUACAGAACCAGUGAUGACAACAAUAGUUAAAAAAUAGCAUUUAUCAUAUUGAUAAAGCAUUGUGUUCUCUUUGUCAAGCUUCAUACAGUAAACUUUACUUCUGGUGCUUUUAUCAUAAAAAAGCUUCAGUUCUCAUCAGGAGUUUUAGUAAAGGACAUAUUAAUGCACAGCAAUCCCCUAGUUCCAGUCAUGAAGUGAAUGAUGUUAUUGUUAAAGUUAUAUUUCUGCAUUUUUAUGUAGC